UGGGGAAUAUUGCACAAUGGGCGAAAGCCUGAUGCAGCAACGCCGCGUGAGUGAUGAAGGUCUUCGGAUUGUAAAGCUCUGUCUUUUGGGACGAUAAUGACGGUACCAAAGGAGGAAGCCACGGCUAACUACGUGCCAGCAGCCGCGGUAAUACGUAGGUGGCGAGCGUUGUCCGGAUUUACUGGGCGUAAAGGGUGCGUAGGCGGAUGUUUAAGUGAGAUGUGAAAUACCCGGGCUUAACUUGGGUGCUGCAUUUCAAACUGGAUAUCUAGAGUGCAGGAGAGGAGAAUGGAAUUCCUAGUGUAGCGGUGAAAUGCGUAGAGAUUAGGAAGAACACCAGUGGCGAAGGCGAUUCUCUGGACUGUAACUGACGCUGAGGCACGAAAGCGUGGGUAGCAAACAGGAUUAGAUACCCUGGUAGUCCACGCCGUAAACGAUGAGUACUAGGUGUAGGAGUNUCGACCCCUUCUGUGCCGCAGUAAACACAUUAAGUACUCCGCCUGGGAAGUACGAUCGCAAGAUU
rnacentral:rRNA from 1 species